UCUUAUGGAUGAGCAAAGAAAGUGGUUUCUUUAGAUGAAACCUACCCUGGUGAAGGUGCUGUGAA
rnacentral:pre_miRNA from 1 species